rnacentral:lncRNA from 1 species
GGAGAGGCAGAGGCAACACUGUCUGCAGAACUCAUAGGGAUUGUGCCUGCUUCUCCACUUCUUACUCAUUCCCCUUCAACACACCAGCCAUGGGGCUGUGGGCUGGGGCAGGAAGGACACUCAGAUACAAACUAGGGGUAGGAUCAAAGGUGGAGUUUCAACGAUGUCUGAAUCCCAGGCCUCAUUCCAGAACCUGCUGAGAUAGAACCUCCUGGGUCACGCUCAAGCAUCCAGAUUUUUUUCCCAGGCGUUCCUUGGUGAUUCUGACGCGUGCAACAGGUUAGAAGCCACUGCAGUGGAUCUCCAAGGAGAAAUGUAAAGAAAUAAAUGUAACAAAGGGCUUAUUAGAGGAAAGAAGAGGAACUGACAAGUGAGCCUGGCAUGGUCAGAGACAGAGGAACUGAGAACAUGUAGUGUCACAAAGCGGAUGCCGCAGUGAGUGCCACUCCUCAUGACCCAGAUCUCUAUGUGCAUUAGCCCCGCAGUGCAAUCAUCAGGGCCCUCAGCCUGCAUCUCAAGGGCAUCUUCCAUCUAAUGACAUAGCCUGACUCCCUGGGAUCCAGGCGUCCAUUUGCCAGGUCUAAUGUAAUCAGGGAUGCUGAUUCUACAAUCAUGCUUUUCUUGCUGUCUCAAGAUUUUCCAUCUCUGAACUCUCCAGACAACAUACGAGGAGACACGAGGCCAUUUCUUCCACCAGUCCAACAAAAUCAUGCAAACAGAGAACUGGGAAACCAGUCCAUCCCUUAAUUGUGGCAACUUGCUUAAGUGACCAAAAAUUGUCCAUGUUCUCAUGGGUCAACCUAACAUCCUAAAGAAACAUUUCCUUCUCCAAGUGAGUAUCACUGACUGGUUGAGACAUUUUGUUUUAAACGGUCAGGGGUGGGGGAGAAGGGAGGGAUGGUGCAAGAAAAAAGGCCUGGUGGGGUGAGACAGUCCUGGAAUUCCCAAAGCAACUGUAAACACGGAAAGAAGGAGAAAUCCCAAAGGUAGACUGGUGAAGACAUCUUUCAUUUCUGCUUUCAUGGACUGAAUUCAAUCUUAGUUUUCAAAGAGGUGCAAAUCAUUUCAACAACAGCUGAGAAGGCCCUUGCCACUUUCAGGCAAUUCGUGAUUUCGACUUUUGAUCACUCUAGUCAAGUGACGCCAGAGGAUGGAAAUGUCAGUUCCAAGCCUGGUGUCUUUAUUAUGACUUCCGACUGUGGAGGCACAGAUGUUGUACCUGGAAAAAGAGAGCAUGCAAAGGAGAGACAGACACAGAGAAAAUUCAACAGAAAGAGACAGGCAGAGAAAACAAGGGAUAAAAAGAGUGAAAAGGGAUAAAAAUAGAAAGAAAUUGCUGCUAGGGAAAAUAAAGCAGAGACACAUCCACCACCCCCCAAAUAAUGAACCACAUUUAGCAAGUCUUAUAGCUAGAAAGAAGCUGUUCAGAGCUUAGAUUAUAUCUCUCUAUCCUGCUAGAGAAUUGGAGAUGGAAUGCUCUAAGAUUCUAUUUCUUAUGCUAAUAGAAAUUUAGCUUUCUUUUUCCCUCUCGUUCUACGUGAUUAAUACAGUCCAUUGUGCAGGCUGCUGAGAAUGCCGUUCCCCAGGCUGGUAAGACUGCACAGGCCCUAUGGAGGGACAGAGAGGAAGCUGGCUGUGCCACGCACCAUCGGCAGUGUGACAGUUUUGGAGUGUGCCUGGCUCUCCUCGGGUGCAGAAUCCAGCCUGAGAUGAAUAUUCAGAAGUUGAACCCGGUGAACCGCCUGAGUGGGACAGAGCCAGCGAUGACAGCCAGGCCAAGGCAAGCUGGAACAUUCUUGUGCAGUGACAGCUUGAGCCAUCGCAGCAGAGGCAGGCCAUCCAACUCCGGCCCCCAGCAGAACAGGUGUCUGCAGAGCAGGUUUUGGGCAAACUUCAAAGAACUUCACAAUUUUACAGUUUCUGAUUUACAAUCACAGGCAAGUGCUCAUGAGCACAUAAUAUGUUCUGGGGAAUUUUUUUUUUCUUUUUAUCUCCUUCCCCCCUCCCCACUCCCCCACUCUCACGUAUACCAUGAACGAACACAGAAAAAAGAAAAUAGACUUAGGAAACUAGCUUCUUCACAAAAUUACCUAUGAGCAGUGAUCCGGCCUGCCUCCAGUAAGAGACAGUGGCGACCUGCAAAGGUGGACUGGUGAUGUAGCCUGAUUCAGGUUGUAAAGUCUGACAUGCAAAGCACACGAUUUUAACAGAGACAAUACAAGGAAGACAGGAGUCGGUUCUGGUACUUUUGAAAAGCAACCACCAUUUUAAAAAAUCCAAAAAUUAUGUUUAUUUUAUUUUCCUUUUCUUCAAUGUUGCUAAAACGGAGAAGAACAUGAACAGCUGCAAUGAGGUCAGGGGCAUGCCAUGUAGAACUCCUUGCUCCAUGGUUAAGAAGCAGGCUCUGGAGGAAGGAGGGUCCACUCCAAAUCCCGGCUCCACGACCUACUAGUUGUGUGACUUUUUCUCUCUAUGCCUCAAUUUCUUCAUCAAUAAAAUGAAGAUCAGACUCA